AGCGGCCAAAUUGGCGGUAUACGUGGAAACCAUGAUAAGUGUGAAAAACCACCACAUGGAUGCGACGAUUCGUGAAGAGGUGGCCCUUGAAACAGAGUAAAACAACGAGCGUACCUAACAAAGUCGAUAAAUCGCACCUCGAUACAAAGAAUAAUGUGACGGACAGAGCGAGUAAGGAAGUUGCAACGCACAACCAAACUUCGAAUCGGAGCGGUUUUAAAAAUGAAAACAUUUCCGUUUCUUCUUCUUUGCCUAUUUUGUAUAAAAUGCUAAUACCUAUGCAAAAGAAAAACGUUAGAUAGGCUAGAUGUAUUUUUACCGCCGAAAGAAUUGCAAAAAUAAGACUAUUGAGUAGGUAAGUCUGUAAAACGAAAAUUUCACCGGCAUGAAUGAUUUUAGAUAGAAAAUUAGCCCACGCGAUGAUGACAACGACCAUUGAUAAACGAAAAUCAACGCAUCGCCAUCUCCGUAGGUAAGUACGAGUAAU